GUUUUUUCAAUACAAAUAAUUGCUGUUUAUUUGGGAUUACUAAAAAACUACAAUUUGCAAUUCCAUGGAGCAACAAUUCCCUGUUUUAGGAAAAACAACAUAUGAUGAUCCAGGAAGGCCACCAACAGCAAGCAAUAUUUUCUUUCAUCAGGCUGCUCUGCUCAGUCUCAACCGAUCCAUGCGAAUGUAAACUUAUAUUAAAGGGUAUUGAACUGGAAUUGGAGUGGAAACAUGAAUCCCGUAAUCUAAUGUAAACAAAUCGAACUCUUUUAUCCACCAACAACAGAUCAGAUCUGCAAAUAAUCAUGAUCAACCCACCAAUUAAAGAUUCCAAUUGCUUGAUAUUGGGUUUUUUUUUUUUUUUUUUUUAAGAAAGCA
rnacentral:misc_RNA from 1 species